rnacentral:rRNA from 1 species
GACGGACGCUGGCGGCGUGCUUAACACAUGCAAGUCGUACGGUAAGGCCCUUUCGGGGGUACACGAGUGGCGAACGGGUGAGUAACACGUGAGUAACCUGCCCACAACUUUGGGAUAACGCUAGGAAACUGGUGCUAAUACUGGAUAUGUGCCCCUGCUGCAUGGUGGGGGUUGGAAAGCUCCGGCGGUUGUGGAUGGACUCGCGGCCUAUCAGCUUGUUGGUGGGGUAGUGGCCUACCAAGGCGGCGACGGGUAGCCGGCCUGAGAGGGUGACCGGCCACAUUGGGACUGAGAUACGGCCCAGACUCCUACGGGAGGCAGCAGUGGGGAAUAUUGCACAAUGGGCGCAAGCCUGAUGCAGCAACGCCGCGUGCGGGAUGACGGCCUUCGGGUUGUAAACCGCUUUCAGCAGGGACGAAGCUUUUUGUGACGGUACCUGCAGAAGAAGCACCGGCUAACUACGUG